UUAGUGCUGCAGCUAACGCAUUAAGCACUCCGCCUGGGGAGUACGGUCGCAAGACUGAAACUCAAAGGAAUUGACGGGGGCCCGCACAAGCGGUGGAGCAUGUGGUUUAAUUUGAAGCAACGCGAAGAACCUUACCAGGUCUUGACAUCCUCUGACAAUCCUAGAGAUAGGACGUCCCCUUCGGGGGCAGAGUGACAGGUGGUGCAUGGUUGUCGUCAGCUCGUGUCGUGAGAUGUUGGGUUAAGUCCCGCAACGAGCGCAACCCUUGAUCUUAGUUGCCAGCAUUCAGUUGGGCACUCUAAGGUGACUGCCGGUGACAAACCGGAGGAAGGUGGGGAUGACGUCAAAUCAUCAUGCCCCUUAUGACCUGGGCUACACACGUGCUACAAUGGACAGAACAAAGGGCAGCGAAACCGCGAGGUUAAGCCAAUCCCACAAAUCUGUUCUCAGUUCGGAUCGCAGUCUGCAACUCGACUGCGUGAAGCUGGAAUCGCUAGUAAUCGCGGAUCAGCAUGCCGC
rnacentral:rRNA from 1 species